rnacentral:rRNA from 1 species
GACGAACGCUGGCGGCGUGCUUAACACAUGCAAGUCGAGCGGAAGGGCCCUUCGGGGUACUCGAGCGGCGAACGGGUGAGUAACACGUGAGUAACCUGCCCCAGACUUUGGGAUAACCCUCGGAAACGGGGGCUAAUACCGGAUACGACACAGCUUCGCAUGGGGUCUGUGUAGAAAGUUUUUCGGUUUGGGAUGGGCUCGCGGCCUAUCAGCUUGUUGGUGGGGUGAUGGCCUACCAAGGCGACGACGGGUAGCCGGCCUGAGAGGGCGACCGGCCACACUGGGACUGAGACACGGCCCAGACUCCUACGGGAGGCAGCAGUGGGGAAUAUUGCACAAUGGGCGGAAGCCUGAUGCAGCGACGCCGCGUGAGGGAUGACGGCCUUCGGGUUGUAAACCCCUUUCAGCAGGGACGAAGCGUAAGUGACGGUACCUGCAGAAGAAGCGCCGGCCAACUACGUG